rnacentral:snoRNA from 1 species
UUACAUGAUGAUUUACUAUAUUUUUAUCACGACGGUCAACAUAAGGAUUUUAAAUUGAUGACCACCGCCUGUGACAGGGCAUUAAAUCUGAUA